AUUCGCCUCCCAGAUGUCCUAAAUUUAUUUCCUUCGAAGUUUUGGUAAAAUGGGUAGAGCAUUGAAACAAUUCAUUGAAAUUAGCCACCUUAUUGUCAUUUUUAUUUCACAAAUAAAAGCAAUCAGAAGAUGAGUGUAACACAGUUAAUGAUGGGCAAGGAGGAGGCGAGCCGCCUCCACUUUUCUGGCAGCAAAUGGGGACACUCCUCCACCCCUGGUCGCGGCCCUACCGCUCCAGGCGGUCGGGGUAUCUAGUCCCCACUUGCCGCGCGGACGGCGGCUGUUCCCCGCAUCCGGGCGGUCGGCCUACUCCGUCACCCGGCAGAUGGCAGCGGCGCUCCCCUGGGUGGACGGCGGUGUUGAGGACUCUGCAACGGGCAUCCCUCCUCCUUUCUGGGUUUUCGGCACCGAUGUAACACAGUUAAUGAUGGGCAAGGAGGAGGCGAGAACCGGCAUGUCAACAUAUAUCAUAAUUUUAUGCAAACUUAAACCAAAAACACAUAUACAAACACACACAUGACGGACAUGCCCGUAAUUCUCUCUCUCUCUUGAACCAUCGCCACCGGCCGCCUUUAUUCCUUCAGACCCGGCCCCGCCCCCCUCCGCUCCACAAUGAGGAACUGCAAUCAAAAAGGAACAGUUCCCCUUAUAGGACUGUAAUAUUGGUCCUAAUGUUGCGCAUUUCGCAGGUUGUCACCGGAUCCGGCCCAAAAGGAUGUAUAUCGUCGACAUGAUUAACACAGGCUAACGAUUGGGGGAUCUGUGAGUUGCUGAUGAAAUUCAAGGGUAGGCUGGCAUUUCGCCAGUUCAUACCAACUAAACGUCACCGAUUUGGGGUCAAAUAUUUUGUCUUAUGUGAUGUACUCACCGGUUACAUGCAAGACAUAAUCAUAUACACAGGAUUGACCACUGACAUCCAGCAUUAUGAAGGCAUUGGAUUCUCUGGGUCUGUUUUUCAUGACAUUACUUGCCCCAUACUUGGAAAAAGGGUAACAUCCUGUUUGUGGACAAAUGGUACAGUAGUCCCACACUGAUCCAGCUCCUCCUGUCCCUGGACACAGGAGCUUGUGGGACUGCAGGAAGGGAAUGCCAACAUUCACCUGCAAAAUGACAAAGGGCCAGGUUGAAUGUAAAGAAAAUGAAACACAACUGGCAGUGAAAUGGCAUGAGAAGAGGGAUGUUCAUCUUCUUAUCAUGGUCCAUCCAGCCACCAGAAUGGUCGAUCAUAUCACCAGAGAAAAAAGAUGAAGCCUCUCUGUGUGCUGGAAUAUAACAAAAAGAUGGGGGCAGAGGACAAGGCUGACAUGAUGAAAAGCUUCCUUGAUUGUACCAGAAAAACCACCAAAUGGUACAAGAAUGUCUUCGUUCACCUCCUUGACACUGCAGUAUUGAACAGCCACAUUGUCCACCACCAAUUUACGGGAUGAACCUGAUGAGAGGACUGCUAGAAGAGCACAGCACACCUCGGUGUCCAUCCAAAGCAGGCCGCCCUGCCUUGGACACUCCACUGUGUCUGACAGCUAGGCAUUUCCCCUCUGAAGUCCCACAGACAGCUUCCAAGGGCAGCAGGACCAGCCGGCAUUACAAGGUCUGCCUAUCCAGCACUCGCAGGACAAAGCAGGGGUCCCUCACCAAAUUCAUGUGUGUGGAAUGCAAUACUCCCUUGUGUGUUGCCCUAUGUUUUGAGGAGUAGCACACUGAAGCAUUACUGAGAACUGAAAUA